UUGGACCUUGGACCUGAUAUCAGGCAAGAUUACCCGCUGAACUUAAGCAUAUC
rnacentral:rRNA from 1 species